ACACACACACACACACACCCUAUGAACAGAACAGAGUGCUGGUUUCCCUGAUUCUCUGUCAAGGCUGUUUACUUUUUAUUGCUCUACCAGGGCUGCUGCCUACUGGGCUCUGCCAAUUUCAGCUGAAUAUUUCAGGGAUAGCCUUUCCCUUACCCUGCCUCCCUGCCUCCAUUCUCUUUUUCUGCCUCAUGUUAUGGAAAACUGGAUAGAAAAUAGCAUCUAGUCCUGAAAAUGCAUCUUCAAGGCAGGAAAAAAUACUGGUGGCAGUUAAGAUGGGAAGACAGCUUAAAAGAGAAUUCACUUACUGUAUCUGAGCAAAUAGAUAAUCUGGACAAUUCGCCCAUGUGAAAUGAGAGCAAGAUGAAAAGAAAUGGCAUGGCAGUCCUAAAAGCACACUACAGAAGAAGAAGAAAAAGGCACACAGAAGACAAUCCAUUGUGGAAGAAAAUAUUGCCCAAGGACCAAAAGCAAACAAAAACUCCACACAAUUUAGCAUAGAAAAUGUUAUUAAGGAUAUGAAUUCAAUAAAAUAAAAACUCAAAGGUGAGAUAAUGAAACCAAAUGCAGUGGAUAAGAUUGCAUAAUUAACAAAAUAUAUUGAAAAUCUAAACCACACCAUUACAGAUCAUAAAUUAGAAACAUAGACAAGUUAGAAAAUCAAGUUCUACUGUGGAAGAAAGGUUUGAGCUAAUCGAAUGAUGGGUAGGGAAGGAGUUGGGAAGAAUAAAUCAAUCAGAGAAGAAUGAUAGAGAACAGACAAAGGAGAUCAUUUUAAGACUAGCCCCUAAAAUACAAACCAAAAAAUAAUCCAAAGGUAAGAUAGAAGACAGUCUUCCCAAAUGAAGGAAUGAUUCAGUUUGCAUAUUCAGGGGGUUCCCUAUAGCAAGAAAAUAACUGAAUGAAUGAAUUAGGGUUACAAAACAGAAUAUAAAUGCCAUAAAAAUAAUAUAAGCAAUAAAAGUUAUACACUAGAAGUGGGGGAAGGGAAGAUAAUACUGGCAGCUAGGCUUAUACCAUCUAAGCAGAAGAGUGAAAUAUUAGUUUCUGGGAAUAAUGGUGCAAAAGAACAACCUACAGAUACUGACACUUAGGGGUUUUCUGGAAGGCAGGGUUCCAACUCGACCCUUGGUAACAGUGAAGCCCACCAGUUGAGUCUUGCUAGUCAUGCACAGUGAACAUGAUUUGUGUUUGUAUUUUUUACAAUCAACUAGUUUGUAUUUUGCUUUUUGUUUUUUUAAAAAACAUAACUUUAUUGAGAUAGAACUUAAUACCACAAAACUCACCCAUUUAAAGUGUAAAAUUCAGUGGCAUUUCGUAUAGACACAGCUUUGUAACCAUCACCACAAUCUAAUUUUAGGAAAUUUCAUCACCCCAAAAUGAAGCUAUGCCUAUUAGCAGUCAUCCUCGAUUCUCACCCUUUCCCACCUACCACCUCACACCACAUCCCCACCCUCCAUCCCAGGCAACCAGUAAAAUACUUUUCUGUCUCCAUAGAUUUGCCUGUUCUGGACAUUUCAUAUAUAUUGUUUUACUUUAAGUAAAAUGAGAAGUGAACCAUCACUAGACACUUAAGGAAAACCUGUAAAAUGAAAUGCGGAAAUGAAAACAACAAAAAAGAAGCAGUGGAAACAAGCAACAUAAAGCCCAGAAGAUAACUUUAAAAAAUGUAUCUUUUUUACAUCCAUAAAACAUGAACAGGAGGCAAUCAAAUGGAAUAUUUAGGGAAUAAGAAGGCUCUUGGGAAUUAAAAAUAUGGUGGGAAGAAAUUCAACAGAAGUAGAGACAAAGUUGAAAAGAUCCCUUAGUCAAGCAGAAAGGCAAAGAUACAGGAAAUGAGUUCAAAGGAAAAUCUAUUGAAGGAGGUGUUUUAAAAAAAAAGAAAAAGGGAAAAUAAAAGGAGGAAGUCUUGGAAUCUAGGAAACAGGAGAUCCAGAAGUACGGAGAGAAGCAAAAGAAUCCCAGGCUACUGCCGUAGGGGACUCAGGACAGCAGCUGCACUCGGGCCUCGGGAGCACCUCGUGCAGUUUGGAGCAGAGUCACAUCUGUUUGGGAGAACAGUCUCCAGAUCACUACAAUUUCUAGUUUUGUAGGAUCAUGGCUUGGAGCCUUCCCUAUUCCACUUGAUUGGGAAAGACCAUGGCAGGUAUGGCCCAUCUCCUGUACACUCGGAGCGACCUUUGGCUACAUGGCUGGCCUUAUUAUUUCGCCACUCUGGAUAUACUGGAAUAGGAAGCAACUUACAUACAAGAACAAUUAAUUGAAGCAAAGGGAGAAGAUAUUUCUUUGUGCAGAUUCCAUAAAGACUGUGCAGAAAUGCAUAUGGUCUAAGCCAGACAGUUCCAUUCACAGCACUGUUUUUUAUGUAGUUACAGCAUGAUGUGAUUGUAGCUUUUUAAACUAUGAAACCCCUGAGAGAUUGUACCUUCUAGUUGAAAUAAAGUAUUUAUAAUAGA